rnacentral:rRNA from 1 species
GACGAACGCUGGCGGCGUGCCUAAUACAUGCAAGUUGAGCGCUGAAGGUUGGUACUUGUACCAACUGGAUGAGCAGCGAACGGGUGAGUAACGCGUGGGGAAUCUGCCUUUGAGCGGGGGACAACAUUUGGAAACGAAUGCUAAUACCGCAUAAAAACUUUAAACACAAGUUUUAAGUUUGAAAGAUGCAAUUGCAUCACUCAAAGAUGAUCCCGCGUUGUAUUAGCUAGUUGGUGAGGUAAAGGCUCACCAAGGCGAUGAUACGUAGCCGACCUGAGAGGGUGAGCGGCCAGAUUGGGACUGAGACACGGCACAAACUCCGACGGGAGGCAGCAGUAGGGAAUCGGCGGCAAUGGACGAAAGUCUGACCGAGCAACGCCGCGUGAGUGAAGAAGGUUGUCGGAUCGUAAAACUCUGUUGGUAGAGAAGAACGUUGGUGAGAGUGGAAAGCUCAUCAAGUGACGGUAACUACCCAGAAAGGGACGGCUAACUACGUG